CGGGUCAAUCGCCUACUGACUGGAGGAAUGAGUGGUGCUGGGUUCCAUUUGCGUUUUCUUUUGCAGUAUUGUUUUAACUACAUAAAAUAUGUGAAAAUAGGGCAGGGAUGGAAGUAUAUCUGCUAUUUUCGAAACUGCAACGAAAAUAGACGCUGCUCAUUCAUUCAUGCGAAAGGGAAAAAAUGGCAAAGGCAUCAUGUGGCCAAACGGAUAGUGUGGUAGGGAUGCGUCCGUUGGAGGCGAUUUCUCAAUAUCCACAGCGCUCAGGAUCAAUACCUACCUCUAACCAUAUUCUGGAAUAACGCUUUCAGCCUCAUAUUAUUUGUAUCACGUUUUCUUUAUCAACCCCUUGUGCAUUCUUCAUUCUUGUUUUUCACUGGGAGACAAGACGUGGUUCCAACCCUCGGUUGUGUUCCUGAGGAGGGACAGAGUUACGAACAUCUUUAUUUUCCUCUCAGGAGAUUCAUCUGAAACAGUACAGAGACCAUGCAUCUACACUCGGUGAAAGUUCGUCUUGUCUUCUCUCCUUACUCGACCCCCCCUCUAUGCCACUCUGCUGUGGGGCGACCAGUCCAAGUCUCUCCAGGCACUCAUCGACUCGGUGGCCGAUGUGAGUCUCAUAGACAUUACCCUGGCGUUUGAGCUGGGCAUCCCCACUCAAGCCCUCUCCAUUCCCAUGGGUGUUAGAGCGCUGGACAGGCACUCUAUAGGCCAGGUAACCCACCAGACCACCCACAUCAGCCUACAAGUGUCAGGGAGGCUAUCCAAUUCCUCUCUGCAGGUCCCCGUGGUAUUGGGAUUCUCCUGGCUCCAGCGACACAAUCCCUCCAUUGACUGGGCUACUGGUGCCAUCGUGGGCUGGAGCUCGUCCUAACACUCAUUGCCUGAAGUCAGCUCUGCCUGCCCCGGGAUGUCUUCCAGGGGGCUUGCAAAUUGCCCAGGACCUUUUCGCCAGCUCCGCAGAGUACCAGGACCUCCGGGAGGGGUUCAGUAAGGCUCGGGCCACUUCGCUUCUGCAGCACCAACCGGUAUCCAAGAAGGUCAAGUCUGAGGCACUGGCAUGUCGCUAUAGGGCUGCGGCUACACCCCCGGAAGCCGAGACCUGUACCCCCCCGCUCCAAGAUCAUUAGCCCCUCUGCUGUUCGUCCUCUGUUGCCCUGUACCCUCCUUAUUUUUUCUACCUUUUCUGUCUAGAGUCAAAACCAUGUCUGACAG
rnacentral:lncRNA from 1 species